rnacentral:rRNA from 1 species
UGGGGAAUAUUGGACAAUGGGCGAAAGCCUGAUCCAGCAAUGCCGCGUGAGUGAUGAAGGCCUUAGGGUUGUAAAGCUCUUUUACCCGGGAUGAUAAUGACAGUACCGGGAGAAUAAGCUCCGGCUAACUCCGUGCCAGCAGCCGCGGUAAUACGGAGGGAGCUAGCGUUGUUCGGAAUUACUGGGCGUAAAGCGCACGUAGGCGGCUUUGUAAGUUAGAGGUGAAAGCCUGGAGCUCAACUCCAGAAUUGCCUUUAAGACUGCAUCGCUCGAAUCCAGGAGAGGUGAGUGGAAAUUCCGAGUGUAGAGGUGAAAUUCGUAGAUAUUCGGAAGAACACCAGUGGCGAAGGCGGCUCACUGGACUGGUAUUGACGCUGAGGUGCGAAAAGCGUGGGGAGCAAAACAGGAUUAGAUACCCUGGUAGUCCACGCCGUAAAACGAUGAUAACUAGCUGUCCGGGGACUUGGUCUUUGGGUGGCGCAGCUAACGCAUUAAGUUAUCCGCCUGGGGAGUACGGCCGCAAGGUU